UACGAAGGGUCCAAGCGUUAUCCGGAUUUAUUGGGUUUAAAGGGUGCGUAGGCGGCUUAUUAAGUCAGUGGUGAAAGACUUCAGCUUAACUGAAGAACUGCCAUUGAUACUGAUGAGCUUGAGUAUACUUGAGGUGGGCGGAAUGUGUCAUGUAGCGGUGAAAUGCUUAGAUAUGACACAGAACACCGAUUGCGAAGGCAGCUCGCUAAAGUAUAACUGACGCUGAGGCACGAAAGCGUGGGGAGCAAACAGG
rnacentral:rRNA from 1 species